AGCCCAGGCAGCCCACAGGAUUCCUUAGACUGGAAGGAUCACAGCCGGCAGGUUGGGGACGUGAUCUAGCCUGUGACUGAAGGCGAGGCUCCCUUUCACAUUCAUUCUUUCCUUCAUUCAUUCCAAACAACCUCCAGAGGUCAGAGGUCAGCCAGUUCAGCUUCCUGCCUGAGGUUGAGAAGCGAAAGCAUCAGAGAAGAGGAGGAUUGAUUUCACACCAGGGCCUCAGGCUGUAUGGGUGGAUUCCCUGCACCAGACCGUUUGUCUGGCAACUGCAGAACUGGAGAAGAAAUCUCGGCCCUACCCAGGAGUCUCGGAGCUCCCACCGCCUCAUGCGCCCAUCCCAGCUUUCUGGAUCGACAGUCCCCUCUUUCAGUCAAUAGGAGCUUUGUGAGCUAAACAACAGAUGCCACAGGGCCUAGAAGGCAAAUAAAUAUGGUUAUUCAA